UGGUGAAUUGUUUUGUCAGGUUAAUUCCGAUAACGAACGAGACCAUAAAUAUUUUUAGUAAUAAGACAAAUAGUAGCAAACUAUUUGAAGAUUAUGGCAAUAACA
rnacentral:rRNA from 1 species